rnacentral:rRNA from 1 species
AUUGAACGCUGGCGGCAGGCCUAACACAUGCAAGUCGAGCGGAUGAAGGGAGCUUGCUCCUGGAUUCAGCGGCGGACGGGUGAGUAAUGCCUAGGAAUCUGCCUGGUAGUGGGGGAUAACGUCCGGAAACGGGCGCUAAUACCGCAUACGUCCUGAGGGAGAAAGUGGGGGAUCUUCGGACCUCACGCUAUCAGAUGAGCCUAGGUCGGAUUAGCUAGUUGGUGGGGUAAAGGCCUACCCAGGCGACGAUCCGUAACUGGUCUGAGAGGAUGAUCAGUCACACUGGAACUGAGACACGGUCCAGACUCCUACGGGAGGCAGCAGUGGGGAAUAUUGGACAAUGGGCGAAAGCCUGAACCAGCCAUGCCGCGUGUGUGAAGAAGGUCUUCGGAUUGUAAAGCACUUUAAGUUGGGAGGAAGGGCAGUAAGUUAAUACCUUGCUGUUUUGACGUUACCAACAGAAUAAGCACCGGCUAACUUCGUG